CCAGAGUCAGGCAAGAUGCAGUGCAGCCAUUGCGGGGUGUGAGUGUGGCACGAUCGGACCAGCUGUAGGAGGGAGCUGUGCACAGCAGACAUGUGCACCUGUUGGGAGAGAAGCAAGGAAAGCAGAGAUGUGCUUAUUUGGGAAGCCAGAAGGCAGGGAGCAGAAGAAACAUUACAGAUGGAUUUCCACUCCAUGCUGGUGUGCUCAGUGGAUACCUGCAGGCAGAGAACUGAACUGUGGACUGGGGCUACCUGCAAAGUCCCAUUUGUCUGGAAGAUUCUGCAUAUUGAUUGCCUGACUACAGCUUUGUGAUUUUGGAGGAACAGAAUGCUGCAGCUUAAGAGCCAACAUGUCUCAGGUUAUAUUUAGUCACCUCAAGAGCAAUUCGUUUCCAACCUCUGUGUGGCGGCUUGAAUGAGAAUGAACCCUAUACGCAUAUAUUUAAUACUUGGUCCUCUGUUGAUGGAACUGUUUGGGAAGGAUUAGGAGGUAUGGCUUUGUUGAAGGAGGCAUGUCACUGGAGGAAGGCUUUGACAUUUCAAAAGCCCACACUAUUCCCACUUUUCUCUUUUUUCUCUCUCUCUCUGUCUUUCCUUGUCUCUCUCUAUCUGUCUCUCUCCCUCGAGUUAAGCUUAAACAAGCAAACAACCAAGUGUGAGCUUUCAUUACUCACUGCUCUAAACCAUGACUGUGAUGUGACUAUUUGAAGUUCCUACCUUGACUUCCCCACAGUGAUGGAUGGGCCUGGGAUUCUAAGUCGAAAUAAAUGGUUUUCUCACUU